UGGCAGGUCUCCGAUUCCUUCACAUCAACUACGUCAUCCACCGAGACCUCAAACUUUCUAAUUUGCUAAUGACUAGUAAGGGGCAGAUCAAAAUCGCGGAUUUGGGGUUGUCGAGGAUAUACCAGUUGCCUCUGACCCCGAUGAGUCCGAAUGUGGUCACUCUGUGGUAUCGGUCUCCGGAGAUUCUCCUGGGGGCUUCUCACCAGACGACUGGGAUUGAUAUUUGGGCGGGGGGAUGCAUUUUGGCCGAGCUCUUGCUGUGGAAACCAUUCAUGCCUGGAAGAACUGAAAUAGAGCAGAUUGAUUACAUUAUCAAGCAGUUCGGUUCGCCUACGAACAAGAUUUGGCCGGAGAUGGAUCAGCUGCCUCUUCUCAAGAAGUUCACUCUCAGGAAUCAGCCUUAUAAUACGAUGAAGCAGACCUUUCCUCGGCUUUCUGAGUCUGGACUGGCACUUCUUAACUCAAUGUUCACUUAUGACCCGACCAAGCGAGUGACUGCUUCUGCCUGUGCUGAUUCGGAUUACUUUUUGGAGGCCCCUUUGCCUUGUGAGCCUGAGUUUUUGCCUAUACUGCCGGAUUACAGGUCGAAGGUGGCUGGGAAUGAGGGGACUCGUGACUUUAGACCCACCCACUUGUAUAGGCGGGCUCAUUGAUAUUGUCUUUGGUUUUUCUCGUGGUUUUGAGUAGUUUUA